AGGAAAAUCCGUCGACUUUUAAAAUCGUGAG
rnacentral:tRNA from 1 species